UACGUAGGGGGCAAGCGUUGUCCGGAAUCAUUGGGCGUAAAGCGCGUGUAGGCGGCUUGGUAAGUCCGCUCUGAAAGCCCGGGGCUCAACCCCGGGAGGCGGGUGGAUACUGUCAAGCUCGAGUCCGGAAGAGGCGAGUGGAAUUCCUGGUGUAGCGGUGAAAUGCGUAGAUAUCGGAAGGAACACCUGUGGCGAAAGCGGCUCACUGGACCACAACUGACGCUGAUGCACGAAAGCUAGGGGAGCAAACAGG
rnacentral:rRNA from 1 species